ACUGCGGAAGGAUCAUUAAAGAAUCGCCCCGUUUUUUGAAAUGGGUUCUAUUCCCAAACCGUGUAUACAUACCUUUGUUGCUUUGGCAGGCCGCCUUUUAGGCGUCGGCUCCGGCUGGUUGCGCCUGCCAGAGGACCCAAACUCGUUUGUUUAGUGAUGUCUGAGUACUAUAUAAUAGUUAAAACUUUCAACAACGGAUCUCUUGGUUCUGGCAUCGAUGAAGAACGCAGCGAAAUGCGAUAAGUAAUGUGAAUUGCAGAAUUCAGUGAAUCAUCGAAUCUUUGAACGCACAUUGCGCCCCUUGGUAUUCCGAGGGGCAUGCCUGUUCGAGCGUCAUUAUAACCACUCAAGCCUCGGCUUGGUCUUGGGGUUCGCGGUCCCGCGGCCCUUAAAAUCAGUGGCGGUGCCGUCUGGCUCUAAGCGUAGUAAUUCUCUCGCUAUAGGGUCCCGGCGGUUACCUGCCAGAACCCCCCAUUUUUUACGGUUGACCUCGG
rnacentral:rRNA from 1 species